UCGGGAAUUUUGCGCAAUGGACGAAAGUCUGACGCAGCAACGCCGCGUGAGGGAUGAAGGCCUUCGGGUUGUAAACCUCUUUUGUCAGGGACGAUGAUGACGGUACCUGACGAAUAAGCCACGGCUAACUACGUGCCAGCAGCCGCGGUAAUACGUAGGUGGCAAGCGUUGUCCGGAUUUACUGGGCGUAAAGAGCGCGCAGGCGGUCGUUCAAGUCGCGUGUGAAAGCCCCCGGCUCAACUGGGGAGGGUCACGCGAUACUGAUCGACUCGAAGGCAGGAGAGGGUAGUGGAAUUCCCGGUGUAGUGGUGAAAUGCGUAGAUAUCGGGAGGAACACCAGUGACGAAGGCGACUACCUGGCCUGUUCUUGACGCUGAGGCGCGAAAGCUAGGGGAGCAAACGGGGAUUAGAUACCCCGGUAGUCCUAGCCGUAAACGAUGGACACUAGGUGUUGGUGGCAUCAACCCCGCCAGUGCCGAAGCUAACGCAUUAAGUGUCCCGCCUGGGGA
rnacentral:rRNA from 1 species